GCUCCACGUCAGGCGUCGGAGAUGGAGCAGGGCGCAGUUCUCCAUCAGGGCCCGAGUCUGUGCAGGUGUCUUCUCCUGCCACCAAGCUGCUCACCCUGGAGGAGGCACAGGCACAGAGGGGAGGCCACAGCACCUCUCCCGCACUGACACACAUCAUGGACAUGGAAGUGGAAGAAGGCCCUGCAGCUGCGCGGGGGAAAUUCCACGCAAUCAUUGACUUUCCAUCUGAAAGACCAACUCCACCCAGCAGGGUGAAGGAAUCCCCAGCAUGCAGUUGGUGUUCCUGUUUCAGGCCGAGAAAACCAUCCUCUGUGGCCAAACGCCAACUGCAGCGCGAUGCCAGGGAGCCCUCGGAAACAGAGGUGGUGGUCCUGGCAG